GCCUCCUCGAGGUUGUACUCCAUGCAUCGAGCUGGUUACUAGACUUCGCCUGCUCUUUGCUCACACUUCUGAAGCACUUGAAGUGUUUGCACUCCUAGCGUUGAGUUAGUUACUGUGAUUCACCUUCUCAAUGCCAUUGAACUUCUAGAAUGCAGGAAGUUUUCACCCCAACUUGGAGUAAUUCUCUCAUAGGUUUGGUCGCCUCUGGGAUUGUACCGUCUUCUCCAUCAACCCUGCCGCCUACUCCUCUGAGUAGCAAAGGUACAGCACCGCGUACUGCUUGCUUCGUUCCUUGGUUAUGCACUCUUGCAUGACCCGAAGUCCUUCACUUUCGGCUAUCUUUGAUGAGAAGCACAUUGACACCGGUCUUACGAAGUUCUUCG
rnacentral:lncRNA from 1 species